GGUAAGAUGGCCGAGUGGUUAAGGCGAGCGGCUUAAGAGAGUGGUUUCCGGAUUUUACUUCAUUCGGGUACACUUAAAAUUCCGCUUGACGAAAGUCAGCCUGGGUUCGAACCCCAGUCUUACCA
rnacentral:tRNA from 1 species